rnacentral:snoRNA from 1 species
GAAACCUUACUUCACAGGAUCAUUUCUGUAGUAGGAAUUUCCGAAAUACAACUCUCGCCAACCAACACGAAUCACUGCGAUGAAGAUGCGAGGCUUCCUUUCUUGAGCAGGAAGCGUGGAUCGAAUACGGCCUUGUGUUCUUUCCAAUUGAUGACUGCGCCGACGGUUAGUCGGUAGGGAAGGAAGAUUUCUGAGCAGC